rnacentral:rRNA from 1 species
GACGAACGCUGGCGGCGUGCCUAACACAUGCAAGUCGAACGAGAUCCAUGGGAGCUUGCUCCCGGAAGAUCUAGUGGCGAACGGGUGAGUAACACGUGAGAAACCUGCCCUGGAGUGGGGAAUAACUCGGGGAAACUCGAGCUAAUACCGCAUACCCUCGGAUGGUCGCAUGGCCGACCGAGGAAAAGAUUUAUCGCUCUAGGAGGGUCUCGCGGCCUGUCAGCUAGUUGGUGGGGUAACGGCCUACCAAGGCAACGACGGGUAGCUGGUUUGAGAGAACGAUCAGCCACACUGGGACUGAGACACGGCCCAGACUCCUACGGGAGGCAGCAGUGGGGAAUCUUGCGCAAUGGGCGAAAGCCUGACGCAGCAACGCCGCGUGCGGGAUGACGGCCUUCGUGGUUGUAAACCGCUUCUAGCAGGACGAAAUAGACGGUACCUGCAGAAGAAGCCCCGGCUAACUACGUGCCAGCAGCCGCGGUAAU